GGACGGUUCCGGUUCCGAGCUCCUGAGUAGCCAAGCUGUGACAGAGCUGCUGUACCAGGCCCACUUGGACCCCACUGUGGCUCUGGUGAAGGACCCGCUACCAGACACACAAGGUGAGUUUGGCGUCACCGUCCUGAAGCCCGGCAUCGAAAGCGUGCGGUCCAAGUGGGUGCACGUGAAGCUGGACCGUAACGCCUUGCCUCAGAGCUUCCGGAACCGCAGUGGGCAAAGGUCCUCCUGUUUUGAGAAGGCUCACAUUCCUUUAUUUGGGACCACUACGGGACA